rnacentral:rRNA from 1 species
UGGGGAAUAUUGCACAAUGGGCGCAAGCCUGAUGCAGCAAUGCCGCGUGUGUGAAGAAGGCCUUCGGGUUGUAAAGCACUUUCAGACGUGAGGAAAAGUUAAUAGUUAAUAACUGUUAACCCUGACGUUAACGUCAGAAGAAGCACCGGCUAACUCCGUGCCAGCAGCCGCGGUAAUACGGAGGGGGUUAGCGUUGUUCGGAAUUACUGGGCGUAAAGCGUACGUAGGCGGAUUAGUCAGUCAGAGGUGAAAUCCCAGGGCUCAACCCUGGAACUGCCUUUGAUACUGCUAGUCUUGAGUUCGAGAGAGGUGAGUGGAAUUCCAAGUGUAGAGGUGAAAUUCGUAGAUAUUUGGAGGAACACCAGUGGCGAAGGCGGCUCACUGGCUCGAUACUGACGCUGAGGUACGAAAGUGUGGGGAGCAAACA